rnacentral:rRNA from 1 species
UACGAAGGGGGCUAGCGUUGCUCGGAAUUACUGGGCGUAAAGCGUGCGCAGGCGGUUUGCUAAGACCGAUGUGAAAUCCCCGGGCUUAACCUGGGAACUGCAUUGGUGACUGGCAAGCUAGAGUGUGGCAGAGGGGGGUAGAAUUCCACGUGUAGCAGUGAAAUGCGUAGAGAUGUGGAGGAAUACCGAUGGCGAAGGCAGCCCCCUGGGCCAACACUGACGCUCAUGCACGAAAGCGUGGGGAGCAAACAGG